UCGAGAAUCUUCCGCAAUGGGCGAAAGCCUGACGGAGCGACGCCGCGUGACUGAUGAAGUUCUUCGGGAUGUAAAGGUCUUUUAUGUGGGAGAAAGUUUAUUGAUAGUACCACAUGAAUAAGGGGUUGCUAAACUCGUGCCAGCAGCAGCGGUAAUACGAGUGCCCCAAGCGUUAUCCGGAAUCAUUGGGCGUAAAGGGUGUGUAGGUGGUCUAGUUAGUCUCAUGUCAAAUUCUUCGGCUCAACCGGGGUACCGCAUGGGAAACGGCUAGACUAGAGGAUGCGAGGGGUCUGUGGAACUCAUGGAGUAGGGGUGAAAUCCGUUGAUAUCAUGGGGAACACCGAAAGCGAAGGCAGCAGACUGGCGCACUCCUGACACUGAAACACGAAAGCGUAGGUAGCGAAUGGGAUUAGAUACCCGCGUAGUCC
rnacentral:rRNA from 1 species